GCAGAAGGACUAUGAGGCAAAUUAAACAACAGGUUAGUGUGUAGUUGUAUGUGUGAAGGAGUUGGCCUAUGCUAUGACAGACAGGAUGAUUUAGAGCUAAUAUGAUCUGGUCAAUGGUGGUU